rfam:Setosphaeria turcica Et28A unplaced genomic scaffold SETTTscaffold_14, whole genome shotgun sequence.
GGGCGUGUAGCUCAGUGGUAGAGCGCCCGCUUUGCAUGUUCUUUGCAAGCUUGCGGGAGGUCUGGAUUUCGAUCAUCCACCCGUCCA